GUGAUUGAUUCAAAUACUGCGUACUCUUGCUAGUAUUUUCCUUGCAUGCUGAUAUGGUUUGGCUGUGUCCCCACCUAAAUCCCAACUUGAAUUGUAUCUCCCAGAAUUCCCACGUGUUGUGGGAGGGACCCAGGGGGAGGUAAUUGAAUCACGGGGACCGGUCUUUCCUGUGCUAUUCUCGCCAGAGUGAAUAAAUCUCACGAGAUCUGAUGGGCCUAUCAGGGGUUUCUGCUUUUGCUUCUUCCUCAUUUUCUCUUGCUGCCGCCAUGAUUCUGAGGCCUCCCCAGCCAUGUGGAACUGCAAUACUUUAAAGACACAAAGUCUCAACAACCAUCUUCCGCUUGACGAGACAGAUCAUUCUAAUUUGAGCAGAAGCUACUAUGUCCUGCCCUUUGAACGCGGCGGCCCGGACAGCUGACAAGGACACACUGUGUAUUUCCAUUCCAAUUCUGGGAGUGCUCUGAGGCCUCUGGGGGAGAAGGACCCAUGAAAUAUUCAAAACAUAAGUGAAUAAAAUAUCUAGGUGCUAGAUAUGGGCCAGGAAGAGCCCUCGGCCCUGCAAAGUGUGUGUGAUGGUGAGAAGCUACCGGAAGAGAUGGUCCCUGUGCUUGGUUCAUUCCUUGGACAUUUAUCAAGCUGACGAAUGUAGCAGAGGUGCUUCAGUCGGCUGUAAUUCCACGGGUGGAGUGCUGGCUGGAGAGUUACCUGGGGCUGUCACACUGCAUGGGCUCCGGGACACUGUGGCUGCCCUUAUGUGGUGUCCCCGGAGGGCCCUGCAGGUGUCACACCGCUGCUCCACACUGCCACCUGCUGUCAGCAUCUGUGCAACGUAUCCAGGUCUCUGGGGGCUAGAAUGAAAAACAUGCAUCUCGUAACCAAUGAAAUCGGGCUUGUCCUGAAGACCUCGUGCAUUCAUCCAUUCUCACACUGCUAUAAAGACAUACCUAAGACUGGGCACUUCAUGAAGAAAAGAGGUUUAAUUGGCUCACGGUUCUGCAGGCUUUACAGGAAGCAUAGCAGCUUCCACUUCUAGGGAGGCCUCAGGAAACUUAUAGUCAUGGUGGAAGGUGAAGGCGGGACAAGGCGUCUCACAUGGGAGCAGUAGAGAGAGAAAAAGAGGGGGUGCCGCACACUUUGAAACAACCAGAUCUAACGAUAACUCACUAUCAUGAGAACAGCACCAAGAAGCUGGCGCUAACCCACUUGUGAAGGACCACCACCAUGAUCCAAUCCCUUCCCACCAGGUCCCACUUCCAACGUUGGGGAUUACACUUCACGGUGAGAUUUGUGCAGAGAGGACACAGGUCCAAACCAUAUCACCUGCUGUCUUUUUAUUUAUUUAUUUAUUUAUUUAUUUAUUGAGACAGAGUUGCUUCGUCACCCAGGCUGGAGUGCAGUGGCGUGAUCUCGGCAUCACCCAGAGCACACCCAGAGCAGCCUGCAGCGGCGUGGAAGGGGCUUGCACUGGCCCCAAGGUGCAGGGGAGCCCUGCCUGCCUGUCUCCUGCUAGGCUUGCCUGGGCUCCCGCCUACAGACCAUGAGAAUUCUUCUAGCAUGGGAAGAGAGUCUGACCAAAGUGACAACAGCCAUCCCCUGACUGCCCAGCACUGUUCACUUCUUCCCAGAUACUCCUACCAGACCAGGUCAGCCCUUCUUUUACUGGGGGGCCAGAAAGGUCCCCCCAAUCCAGUCCAGGACUCCAGAUGAUGCCCAUUUCUCUGCCAGUCCCAGCAAUCUCCCUUCUCAGCAUCUGGCAUCCUGGGAUGUACCCUAAAGUUCACUGGCUCAGAGCACCCUAACUAUGGCUGCGGCGAGGGGGGAGGGCGGGAUCAGGUCGGCGUGCUGCACAUGGGUCCUGGGGCGGGAACAGUAUUCUGGCUAUGCUCCUGCAGCUGGGCCCUCACAAGGGGCAGCGUCUGCACCCUCUCAAGGCUUUGCAGAUAAGGGUUUAUUGAAGAGGGAGGUGACCCACACCAUCCCCACUGAGGGAUCUGGUUAGGGGGCUCCCCCCAGAAUGUAGGCAAGAGGGCAGCAUCUUGAUAGUGAGGGUUGGUCACCCGGGAACCACAGUAACGUCUGCAGGGACCUUCCCCCAGUGGCACGCACUUCCCAGAAUGCUCACGGUCACCCUCAGCUUUCAACUGUGGGGACCUAACGCGUCUCCUGGUAGAGUCCUCACUCCCUUGGCUAAAACUUCUGAAAGCAGCGAGGCCGGGCUCCCUGGCUAGGAUGGCUCUGGCCCUGAGCAGGUCAUUUGCGUCAAGUUUCACCACCCAGCACCCUGUGCUUUCCCCAGCUGGCUGCACGCUGGGCCUCCGGGAAGCCGGCAAGCCCACCUGAUUCUGGAUCCUCCCUCCGAGCCUGGGUGACGCUGUCAUGAAAGAAGCUGCCAGAAGCCCACAGCAGGGCAGUUAGGCAGGGAAUGCGAGUCCGUGUCCAGAGCAAGGGUGACUCCAGUCCCUCCAGGACGGAGAAGCCAGUGCGACCCACUGUCCCAGGCCCCCAUGGCCCUGGCUGCUCCUGGCGGACAGAGGGGCAUGUUGCCCACGCUAUGCCUUGUUCCCUCUGGGCUGCCAUGGCCCCUGGAACAAUUCCUGGGACAGCCUGGGGAGGAGGCUGACAAUCAUGCAAGGUGGAUGCAGCUUGGCCCCUCCCAGUCACCUAUGUGUUCCUUCCUCAGACUCCCGUGGGGCUGGAGUCAUGAUUUUGCUCCCCAUCCCAUCUGUAGGCCGCCCCUGCCUGGAUGAGACCACGCUGACACUCACACGCCUCCCUCCAGGAGGACCUUGCCUCCACUUUCUCCAGGGCCACCUGUGAUGCACCAGGAUCCAUCCUGUAAUCCCAGCUACUUGGGAGGCUGAGGCAGGAGAAUCACUUGAACCUGGGAGGCGAGAGGCAGAGGUUGCAGUAAUAAGCCAAGAUUGGACCACAGCACUCCAGCCUUAGCAAUAGAGAGAGACUUCGUUUCAAAAAAAAAAACCUAUGCAAAUCCCAAUUACACACGCUGAGUGGCAUGUUCAGCUGAGCCACCUGCCCAAGGCGGGACCCUCUCUUCCUCCGUCUGCAGGUCACAUGGAGAUGGCAGAGCACCUGCACGUGCACCUGGAGACCCUCUCAAGCCUCGUCUCCUGGCACUGCCUCCUCCUGACAUUGGAGGCUGCUGGGAGUACCAGCCUGUAACCCUCGUUGUGAUGGCACCUGCCUGGUGCUAUAAUUCAGACAUUUGUCUCCCCAACCUCAUGUUGAAAUUUGAACCCCAAUGUUGGAGGUGGGACCUGACAGAAGGUGCCUAGGACAUGAGAGCUUGGUGCUGUCCUCGCGGUCAUGAAUGCAUUCAUGCUUUAUUCCUUCUCACAAGAACUGAUUGUUAAAAACGCUUGGCACCUCCUCUGCCCACUCUCUCUUGCUCCCUCUCUCACCAUAUGGUCUGCAUGCACCUGCUCCCAUCGCCUUCUGCCAUGAGUGGACACUUCCUGAGGCCUCACCAGAAGCAGAUGCUGGCACCAUGCUUCUUGUACAGCCUGCAGAACUGUGUGCCAAAUAAACCUCUUUUCUUUAUAAAUCACCCAACCUCCCAACACAAAUCGUCCAAGACACCUGGUGUCCCCCAAACAGCUCCUUGGUCAACCUCAGAUUCAGGACCAAUCUGAGAGCUGUUUCCGUGAAGGGAGGAGAGGAGAGUUGUUAGCUGAAGAGGACAUGGGUUUGCUCAAGAUCCCUGCAUUCUCCACUAUGGCUCUCUGAUUCUCCUCUCUGAGCUUGUGGCAGACACGGCAGAUACCUCAAGCAUGGCUGGGCAGCAGAUGCUGGCUGAGAGGAAGUGGCUGAGCCCAACUUGUCCCUCCUCAGACCCCAGAAUUGCCAAGACCAGAGUCCUCCAUAAAGACCUCACAAACAGGCAAUCACUGCAUGCUUUUCCACAAUUAAAUAUGUGCACAUCUUAAGGAAAGGACCUAACAUCCUUCAGCAGUAUCUCUUUCCAGGGCAGGGAGUGACUGCGUCAGCAGCCUCAAGUACCUGGAAACUGUCCACAUCAGGCAAAGUGGUGGGAGAGACACAGAUGUUUCCACCAGCAUUUAAAAGAAAGGAAAGAAAAUUAUUGACAAGAAGCCUCCAUGGUGGAUCAGGCUUCAACGUUUUGAUGGACCUGGCCUCUCUUGGAAGCAAAUCCCUGGAUGGAGCCCAUGUCUCUUUGGGCCCCCAAAGGCAGCCUGACCUUGACACGGAGUGCAAAGCAGACUCAGCUGCUUGUGUUUAAUGGGGAUUCGCAUAGUUGGUUUUUGGUUUUGUUUUUGUUUUGUUUUGUUUUUUGUUUUUUUUUGAGAUGGAGUCUUGCUGUGUUGCCUAGGCUGGAAUGCAGUAGCGUGAUCUCUGCUCACUGCCUGCAACCUCUGCCUCCCCAGUUCAAGUGAUUCUCUUGCUUCAGCCUCCCGAGUAGCUGGGAUCACAGGCACGUGCCACCAUGCCCUGCUAAUUUUUGUAUUUUUAGUGGAGAUGGGGUUUCACCAUGUUGGCCAGGCAGGUCUCGAACUCCUGACCUCAAGUGAUCCUCCCACCGCAGCCUCGAACAAUGCUGGGAAAACAGGCGUGAGCCACUGUACCCAGCUGGGAUUUGUGUAGUUUUGUCCGUGCUGUUAUAUGGUGCACUGGGCAGAGCCAGCCAGUCCCGCCUCGAGCCCCGUUACUUUGGUCUCUGAUGCAGAUGUUGUGUGGCAGUGGAACGGCCUCAUCAGCCCCACCUGGGACCUGGCAGGGGAUGGGUCUGAGCAGCCCUAGAGGAGGGUCCCCAGGGCCCACAGCAAGGGUGACAUGACCCACACCAUCCCCACUGAUGGGACCCACACAGUGAACCUCCUCCCACACCCCCUCCCCAGCCGGCCACUUGGACCAGAGAGACGUUAUCAAAGUGCCCUCUCAGAAACGUCGCCUUCAUCCACCAUCCUCUUUUAACCCACUGGGCUUGGUCAGGAAGCCGUUGGUCAGCAGGGGGCAGGUGGGGUUGGGGGGCACCCUUAUGUCCUGUGAGACCCUAGCAGGCACUCCAGCUUGGGAUUUCCAGAGGCUCUGAGGUGGCUAAGAACAGGAUGACAAAUCGACUCCAAGGUUCAACUCUUCCCCUCAUGGACACUCCUCCCUAUGCUGUUCUCAUCUCAAAUUUUACCUGUUUUUCUCAAAGUAGCUCACCAGAGGUUGGAAAUGAGAUCAAAGGUCAGCGUGGAUCUCAACAUUAUUAUUCAUCAGGGAAAUGCAAAUCACACCAGAGAUGAGACGCCAUGACACUCACACUAGCAGGGCUAAAAUUUAAAAGUCUAGCUGGGGCUGGGCAUGGUGGCUCAUGCCUGUGAUCCCAGCACUUUAGGAGGCCAAGGCAGGAGGAUUGCUUGAAGCCCAGGAGCUCAAGACCAGCCCCGGCACCAAAGCAAAACUGUACCUCUACAAGAAUUUUUUUUUUAAUUGGCUAGAUGUGGUACACAUGCCUGUGGUCACAGCUACUUGGGAGGCUGAGGAGGGAGGAUCACUUGAGUCCACGAGUUCGAGGCUUGGUGAACUGUGAUCAUGCCACUGCACUCCAGUCUGGGCAACAGAGUGGGACCUCAUCUCUUAAAAAUAAAGAAAAGGAAAGGAGUGGAAAGGAGAGGAGAGGAAGAAACUUGAUAUUUCAAUUAUUUUAAAUUUGUUGAGACUUGUUUUGUGGCCUAACAUAUGGUCUAUCCUGGAGAAUGUUCCAUGUGCUGAGGAAAAGAAUGUAUAUUCUGUACAGCUGUUGGAUGGAAUGGUCUGUAAAUGUCUGUUAGGUCCAUUUGGUCUAAACCAUAGUUUAAAUCCAAUGCUUAUUUGUUAAUUUUCUAUCUGAUGAUAUGUUGAAGGCUGACAGUGUGAUGUUGAAGACCCCAACUGUUACUAUAUUAGAGUCUCUCUCUUUAGAUCUAAUAAUAUUCACUUUAUAUAUCUGGAUGAUUUGGUGUUGGGUGCAUAUAUAUUUACAAUUGUUAUAUCUUCUUGCUGAGUCAGUCCCUUUAUCGUUAUAUAAUGACCUUCAUCUCUUUGUAGUUUUUGACUUAAAGUCUGUUUUAUCUGAUAGAAAUAUAGCUACUAUCGCUCACUUUGGGUUGAUGAAAUAUCUUUUUACAUCCCUUCCCUUUUAGUCUGUAUGUGUAUUUAUAGGUGAAGUGAGUUUCUAACAGGCAGUAUAUAGUUAGGUCAUUAAAAAAAAAUCCAUUCAGCGAGUCUGUAUCUUUUAAGUGGGGAAUUUCAUCCAUUUACCUUCAGGAUUAUUAUUGGUAGGUGAGGGUUUAUUUUAUAAUUUUGUUAAUUGUUUUCUGAUUGUUUUGUAUAUCCUUUGUUUCUUUGUUCCUUUCUUCCUUCUCAUUAUUUAUCAUUGAGGUUGGGUGGUUUUCUGUAGUGAUAAGGUUUGAUUCUUUUCUUUUUCUGUUUUGGAUAUUUGCUUUACCACUGAGUUUUAUACUUUUGUGUGUUUUCAUGAUAGUGAUUGUCAUUUUUUCACUCACAGAUGUAGGAUUCCCU
rnacentral:lncRNA from 1 species